rnacentral:tRNA from 1 species
GCGUUCGUAGCUCAAUUGGAUAGAGCAACAGACUUCGGAUCUGUAGGUUAUGGGUUCAAUUCCUAUCGGGCGCACCA